GCUGGGCGCGGUGGCACAUGCCUGUAAUCCCAGCGACUUAGGAGGCUAAGGCAGGAGGAUCGCAAGUUCAAAGCCAGCCUCAGCAACUAUGACGUGCUAAGCAAUUCAGUGAGACCCUGUCUCUA
rnacentral:sRNA from 1 species